AGAGUUUGAUCAUGGCUCAGGACGAACGCUGGCGGUGCGCCUUAUGCAUGCAAGUCGAGCGAAGCUUUUCAGUAGUUUACUACAGAAAAUGACUGAGCGGCGAACGGGUGAGUAACGCGUGAGCAAUCUACCUUAGUUACAGGGAUAGCCCGAGGAAACUCGGAUUAAUACCUGAUAUUCUUUAAAUUUCGCAUGAAAUUAAAAGGAAAGGUCAGCCGAACUAAGAUGAGCUCGCGUUCUAUCAGCUAGUUGGUGAGGUAAAAGCUCACCAAGGCAACGACGGAUAGCUGGUCUGAGAGGACGAUCAGCCACACUGGGACUGAGACACGGCCCAGACUCCUACGGGAGGCUGCAGCAGGGAAUAUUGCGCAAUGAGCGAAAGCUUGACGCAGCGACACCGCGUGUGGGAUGACGGAUCUAGGUUUGUAAACCACUUUCAGGAGGGAAGAAAAUGACGGUACCUCCACGGGAAGCCCCGGCCAACUACGUGCCAGCCGCCGCGGUAAUA
rnacentral:rRNA from 1 species